AACGAACGCUGGCGGCAUGCCUAACACAUGCAAGUCGAACGAGACCUUCGGGCCUAGUGGCGCACGGGGGCGUAACGCGGGGGAACCUGCCCUUAGGUUCGGAAUAACUCCCGGAAAGGGGUGCUAAUACCGGAGAAUGUCUCCGGACCAAAGGGUUAUCGCCUUUGGGGGGGCCCGCGUCGGCUUGGCUGGUGGGUAGGGUAAAAGGCUACCAAGGCGACGUGCCAUAGCGGGGUAGAGAGGAUGAGCAGCCACACUGGGACUGGGACACGGCCCAGACUCCUGCGCGAGGGAGCAGUGGGGGAUCUUGGACAGUGGGCGAAGGCCUGAUGCAGCACUGCCGGGUGAGUGAUGAAGGCCUUAGGGUUGUACAGCUCUUUUACACGGGAUGAUAAUGACAGUACCGGGAGAAUAAGCACCGGCUAACUCCGUG
rnacentral:rRNA from 1 species